CCUACGGGUGGCAGCAGUGGGGGAUCUUGCACAAUGGGGGAAACCCUGAUGCAGCGACGCCGCGUGGGUGAAGAAGCGCCUCGGCGCGUAAAGCCCUGUCAGCAGGGACGAAAAUGACGGUACCUGUAGAACAAGCCCCGGCUAACUAUGUGCCAGUAGCCGCGGUAAUACGUAGGGGGCAAGCGUUAGCCGGAUUCACUGGGUGUAAAGGGGGCGCAGACGGCGGUGCAAGCAAGGAGUGAAAGCCCGGGGCCCAACCCCGGGACGGCUCAUGGAACUGCGUGGCUAGAGUGCAGGAGGGGCAGGCGGAAUUCCUGGUGUAGCAGUGAAAUGCGUAGAUAUCGGGAGGAACACCGGUGGCGAAGGCGGCCUGCUGGACUGCAACUGACGUUGAGGCCCGAAAGCGUGGGGAGCAAACAGGAUUAGAUACCCCAGUAGUC
rnacentral:rRNA from 1 species